rnacentral:rRNA from 1 species
CUUCACAAUGUGCGAAAGCACGAUGAGGGGAUCCCAAGUGCUGGCACGUAAGUGUCAGCUGUUUCUUAGUCUAAAAAACUGAGAGAGUAAGGGCUGGGUAAGACGGGUGCCAGCUGCCGCGGUAAUACCUGCAGCUCAAGUGGUGGCCGCUAUUAUUGGGCCUAAAACGUCCGUAGCCUGUUUAGUAAAUGCUUGGGUAAAUUGUGUAGCUUAACUAUACGAAUACCGGGUAGACUGCUAAACUUGGGACCGGGAGAGGCUAGAGGUACUCCUGGGGUAGAGGUGAAAUUCUGUAAUCCUAGGGGGACCACCAGUGGCGAAGGCGUCUAGCUAGAACGGGUCUGACGGUGAGGGACGAAGCCCUGGGGCGCAAACCGGAUUAGAUACCCGGGUAGUCCAGGGUGUAAACGCUGCUUGCUUGAUGUUAGUUGGGCUCCGAGCCCAACUAGUGUCGGAGAGAAGUUGUUAAGCAAGCUGCCUGGGAAGUACGGUCGCAAGACUGAAACUUAA